CCUGCUGGCUCAGAGGUUAAAGCAUCUGCCUAUAAUGCGGGAGAUCAGGGUUCAAUCCCUGGGUCAGGA
rnacentral:tRNA from 1 species